CUCAGGUGCUCAGGUGAGGCCCAAGGUGUGGGAGCACAGGGCACAGGAGCAGCAGGCUGAUGGGCAGCACCAUGAGGCAAAGUUAGCCAGAGAGGGCUGUGAGACGAGGCUGUUACUCACAGCUGUGCUCAGGGCACAUUUUGCACAUUAGGAACAUUUUGCACGUUAAGCACAUUUGGAAUGAGUAGCAGGAGGGUCUUUCUGGAGCCUGUGUGAGGGAGACGUGGCCACCAGGCUGGCCAGACUAGUGAUGGAGGGCAUGUUGGCUCUCCUCCCAUGGUGAAAAUAAAAUCAAUCACUUUAUUUGCCAUUAAGGGAGUAACUAGAGAAGUGAGGUGGUGGCCUCUGGGGACUGCCUUUUUCUUUUCUGAGGGAAAAGAGCCCCAGUAGCAGAGCAGCUGUGGUGAGGGAGCUGUGGUGGGUGCCCAGCUGUGGGCUUUGAGGGAGCCCCAUGGCUGGAGCCAGACAGUGCUGGUGGCUUUGUGAGGCCUGCCAGCAUGUGCUAGUCUGUGGUCACAUGCAAUAUAUUAGAUUGUAAUAACCUUGUGAGACAGGAUGGAAUGUGACAAGACCUCUCUACAGGCCAGGGCUGUGAGCUGUGGUCCUUGUGGACUGCUACGCAUGGGAUAGCUCUGCUUAUUCACUGACCAGCACAGCCCUAUUGAAGAGCAUGUCUGAGGGAUGCUGCUGUGGAUGAGGUGUGAUCUAAGGGUAGGCAAUUCUGAAUAAUCCUGCCUGAUAACCUACUUACUGCCAAUACCCAAGUACAUCCAAUGCUGUGACUUCUUGGACAAAACAAAAACUUCCUGCUGACUAAUGUCUGCUUUGCCCCAAUCUGCCGGAUGCUCUGACAUCAGCACCUCCCUGUUACUACACUUCUGGAGCAGAGGAAAAGGAACCUUAUGAGUCAUUGAGAUAAUGUGCCUUGGAGGUUCAGCAGAGCACUCCCUCAAUAAAUUUUAAUAUUGUACUAUUCCUACUUAAGGAAAAAUGGAGAUGGACUAUAUGCUACUGAGUGCCAGUUAUUCAUGCCUGGAAAGUCCCUGCUCUUCUCCAUACUCACUGAGGACAAUGUAUUUAGAUACUCUGUGAACUGCAACUGCUCCACCAUUAGUAAAAAGUGA